rnacentral:lncRNA from 10 species
AGUUGAUUUGCCUGCAUGAGAUGCUUUCCAAAUUUCCACGAGGCUGACAAGUGGCAUUCCAUGAAAAGUCAGGGAAAUUUGCAUUCGCAAGCAUUUGCCAGCAUUUGUAGAAACCCAUGGCAUACUAGGUAGGGACUGAGGAGGGAACAAGUUUCCUCAGGGGUCCUAAGAAAACCCUGGCCACAGUUUGCUCCCUGACAGAGUUCAUUACUUCCACACAAAAGAAGGGCCUUGAGGAUCUUUGCCAUGUUUGCCUACAGCUGUGAAAUCAGAGACGGCCAGGGAAUUUCCUGGGUGACAGGAGUGUCUUCUGUUGUAAUGAGGUGACUUUUUGUGGGUUCCUGGAUGGGCGCUGGCCACUCAAGAGACCAGCGUGGAGAGGAGAGACAGGCUGGAGAUGGAGUUCAUAAUGAAUCGUGCUUACGAGAUGAAAAUCCCUGAACUGCAGAGUUUGGGAAACUUCCAGGCUGGUGAACAAGAACACGUCCACACUCUGGGAGGGAGUGCACCCCAACUCUGCAGGGAAAGAAGCUCCUGCAUGGGGAUCCUCUGGACCUCGCCCUGUGCCCCUCUUCAUCUAUCUUAUCCUUUAUUAAACAGUAAACUGGUAAACCUAA